GUGAUUAGAGUUUGAUCCUGGCUCAGAAUGAACGCUGGCGGCGUGCUUAACACAUGCAAGUCGAGCGAGGCGGAGGGGGCAACUCCUCUAGCCGAGCGGCGGACGGGUGAGUAACACGUGGGUAACCUGCCCGGAAGUGGGGAAUACCUCGGGGAAACUCGAGCUAAUGCCGCAUAAAAUCUCCGGGACGAAAGUCCUGGCGAUCAAAGCGGGGUCGCAAGAUCUCGCGCUACCGGAUGGGCCCGCGCCCGAUUAGCUAGUUGGUGAGGUAAUGGCUCACCAAGGCAACGAUCGGUAGCCGGCCUGAGAGGGUGAUCGGCCACACCGGAACUGAGACACGGUCCGGACUCCUACGGGAGGCAGCAGUGGGGAAUCUUGCGCAAUGGGCGAAAGCCUGACGCAGCAACGCCGCGUGGAGGAUGAAGGCCCUUGGGUUGUAAACUCCUGUCGGCUGGGAAGAACUCGUACGAUGCUCAUACCAUCGUGCGUUGACUGUACCAGCAAAGGAAGCCCCGGCUAACUCUGUGCCAGCAGCCGCGGUAAUACAGAGGGGGCUAGCGUUAUUCGGAAUUAUUGGGCGUAAAGGGCGCGUAGGCGGCCUUGCGUGUCUUUCGUGAAAUCCCUCGGCUUAACUGAGGACGUGCGGAAGAAACUGCAGGGCUUGAGUCCGGGAGAGGGGGGUGGAAUUCCCAGUGUAGCGGUGAAAUGCGUAGAUAUCAGGAGGAACACCGGUGGUGUAGACGGCUCUCUGGACCGUAACUGACGCUGAGACACGAAAGCGUGGGUAGCAAACAGGAUUAGAUACCCUGGUAGUCCACGCCCUAAACGAUGCAUAUUUGGUGUGGGUCAUUCAGUUGAUCCGUGCCGGAGCUAACGCGUUAAAUAUGCCGCCUGGGGAGUACAGUCGCAAGGCUGAAACUCAAAGGAAUUGACGGGGGCCCGCACAAGCGGUGGAGCAUGUGGUUCAAUUCGACGCAACGCGAAGAACCUUACCUGGGCUCGAACGGCUGGUCAACGCCGGUGGAAACAUCGGUACCCCGCAAGGGGGUCCAGUCGAGGUGCUGCAUGGCUGUCGUCAGCUYGUGUCGUARGAUGUUGGGUUAAGUCCCGCAACGAGCGCAACCMUWUA
rnacentral:rRNA from 1 species